rnacentral:sRNA from 1 species
GCAGGGCGUGGUGGUGCACGCCUGUAAUCCCAGCGGCUCAGGAGGCUGGGGCAGGAGGAUCGUGAUUUCAAAGCCAGCCUCAG